UACUCAGCUCUGCCUCGGUGGCACAAAAGCAGCCUCUGACAGGAGGAAAGCAAAGAAACUGCCCAAGUUCCACUUCCGGAAACCACAUUUCCCACAACAGCCGACAGGGGGCAGCAGCUCCAGCCUCCACCAACAGCCAUGACAACAAAAGUGCGACCUGGACACACAAGGAUCCGGGAGCCCUGGGAAGAGGGUGUUCUGCCCCACAGUGCAAAACAGGAUGGUAUCUGGCUUCUGCUUCCCAACCUCACUUUCUCCACCUCAACCACAGAAUUCUCUUCUCAAAUUGUGUCUCACCUGUCAGAUGCCAACGCUGAAGGCUAAAUCCACUCACAGAGACCCAAGCCUGCACUGCUGAUGCCUGCAGCCACAGGCUGAACACCCAAGGCCACAUUUGACCUGCACACCAGCCCAUCUCACCUGCCGGAAGAUGUGGCUGGCCAGGGGCUCAUCCAGGCUGGGGUGCUGGUCAAUGAAAGCAAAGAGGUCCAGGCCGGAGCCAUGCUUCUCCAUCACCAGCUGGAAGAACCCUUGGUUUUCAAACACAUCCACUACCUAGAAAAGACAAUGCUGUGGGCAGCAUAAGUGCCUGCCUGGCAAGCGCAAGGUUGUGAGUUCAAUCCCUGGUUCCAAAAAAAAGAGAGAGAGAAAAAAAAGAACACCUUGUCCAGCUUGGCUGAAAUAUCUUCAGUCAGCAAAUUAUACAAAUUUUACAGGGACAGAGUUGCAUAGGAAACCACCACCUACCUUGAUGAUGUUGGGAUGCUCCACGUGGGACAGAAUUGCAAUUUCUAAAGUGACUUUUCCAAGUUUGGUGUCCUCAAUCCAACAAUCCUCCAAAACUUUCUCCUUCUUAAUAAACUUCACUACCACCUUCAAAGGAAAGAAGAGUAGGAGAACCAGUUCUGACAUGACAUCAGUCCCCCAAGUCAUAGAAUGCCAAGGCCACGCAUCCCACAGUAAGUGCUGAGGCUCACUGGGGAGGAGGCCACACAGACACUCAACACACCCAGAAGGGCACCUGGCACCCAGCAAGCAUGGGCCACACACAGUUAUAAAUACUACACACAGGCCAUCCAGCGGCUGCGAAGGACAUCUAUGGUUAGUGUGCUGUUUUGUUUGUUCACUGGGAACUUUUUUCCAGUUGAGCAGAGAUCUAAGUUCAGCUUUAAAAGUGAACUUGUGGUGCCCACAGGCAUCACAGCAGGCCACGGGGGCAGCAGGAGAAUGGUACACACCCUGCGCUCAGAGAGCAGGGAUAGAAGAGACAGACAGAGCCUUGACAUGGACCCUGCCAGGGCUCAAGUGUCUGUGGCAGCAAGGUCCAAAUCUGAGAUGUGACAAGAUUGCUGCCUGUGGGUGUCAGUGGGUGUCCAGCCAGAAGUGCCCUCCUUGGAAACAGAAACUGCCCACAUGCCAGGUUGAGACCUAAGUGCUCCCUUCCUAGUGACAAUCUAGGAUUCUGAGAGCCUGGAACUCAAAGUUGGGCCUCCUUCCGAGCCUUAGAGCACCUCCUUGUUCUGCUCCUUGUCCAUGGCGAUCCACACAAAGCCGAAGGCCCCGCUGCCGAGUGGACGCAGGGUGAUAUACUUGCGUGAGUACUCGCCCUCACAGGCCGCCAGUCCCUCUAGCUCCAUAGGUGUGGGAGCCUCCUCAGCCCAGGGCUUGGUUCUGAGCACCUGUGAAUAAGAAGGAAAGUCUGUGGUCACAUGCAAUGGAGGCCAGGGGGCAUCAUCACCCUGAACCCUGCAGGGCAGCACCCUCACCCACCCUGAUUUCCUCUGGUGCCACAGGGAGUGCCCUGGGACAUGUCCCAGGGUCUCACUAUGCACACAGUGUUCAUGCAGAUUUAAAAUCCUACAUCUGCUUUAUCCUCACACAGGACACUAGAAAGUGGCAUAACAAAACCACAGACAGUGGGCUGGGGAUUAGCUCAGUGGCGUAAGCACCUGUCUGGCAAGCAUAAGGUCUUGAGUUCAAUCCCUGGUACCAAAAAAACAAAAACAAAAACAAAAACCACAGACAGAUCCUCCUCCCAUUCUGGUAGACACCAAUGCCAGCAGGAAAAGCUGGUGUACACAGCCUGAGCAACUUGAUACCCACCUCCCCGAGACCACGUCCUGAGGGAUCGGGCAUGGAGUGGGUGGAGCUGGGCAGGCUGGCGAGCAGCAGGCGGGUCCUGGUGGCAGAGCUGCGGUGGCUAUGCAGUAGAUCCUUUACCAGCCAGCAGCAGAACAGGCUCACAGGGCCCUGGAGUUCCACCAGCUUCACCUCAAAGCAUAUGCCUGGGGAUGAAAGGUGAGACAGCACCGUGCCAACCCUGACCCCACUGGGUGACAGUGUUGAAUCCAAAGUCUGCCACUCAGAACAGCCUGAGGACCACCCAGCAGCCCAGGACAAGGGGAGAAAAGCCCUGAGCACAUCAGGGAGACAAUCACCAGAGCUUUGAUGCAACCAGGAGUCAAGAGCCAAGGAUGACUGCAGGAAGCUGCUGGCCACCCCAGCUGAGAAAAGCCAGGAUGGAGCAUCCCUCCUUCUUCAGGGGCAGGAACUGAGCAGAACCUGAACAGCUAUGUACUGCAGUUCUGCACAGCCAUACUGAAAACCCCCACCUCCCCACCCCUGCACCACUAUGAGGUACUAGUUCUUCUGUGUAUGUGUGUGUGCUCCUUCCUGGAGCUACCCUGGUAUAUGGGAUCUGCUUUUUGGCAGAGGGUUCAGAGCUAAUUUCAUUUUUGUUUAUGUUUUCUAAUAGUUACACAAAUAAUAUUACCUAUGCAGGGUU